rnacentral:rRNA from 1 species
GAUGAACGCUGGCGGUGUGCCUAAUACAUGCAAGUCGUACGCAUUCCCGUUUUUGUAUUGAAGGUGCUUACACCUGAUUGAUAAACAUCGGAAUGAGUGGCGGACGGGUGAGUAACACGUGGGUAACCUGCCCAGAAGUGGGGGAUAACGAUUUGGAAACAGAUGCUAAUACCGCAUAAUAGAUAGAACCACAUGGUUCUAUUUUUGAAAGUAUGGCCUUUGUGCUAU